GUUUCUUUUGUUGUUUUGUCCCAUGAUCUGGUACCAGAGACACACAGUUCAAUCCAGGAGAAAAUGCAUGCCUACUUCAUACUGCUCAGAGAGACCCUGUGAGAAAUUAAGAAUCACUAUAUAAUUCAAGAUACCAUGAGAGGCGAUAGUCAAAGAGUUCUUCAUCAAAGAGCCAGACUAAAGCUUGUACAAGAUGUGUCAAUAUAAUUGGACAGAUGGAGAAGAUGGGGACAUUACGGCACUUAUUUGGAUUAGUAAAGACUAAAAGAAAUAGAAAAAUGAAGAGGUAAAAAAUGUACAUUACUUCUGUAGAAAUAUAAGAUUAUUCAUAAAAUAGUGCAAAAACUGUGUUGGAAUAAAACAAAGCAAGGCAUCUAGG
rnacentral:lncRNA from 1 species